UCCUGAGGAGAGAGGGCCGGGUUCAACUUGCCAUAUGCCCCCUCACAUCUGACCCGACUCUGGGAGAAGGUCCUUACGGGUUUGUGGAGGGAAGAAGUGAUGCUCUCAGCGUAUACCAGUCGAGGAAGUGGGAGUCAGCCCUGACGUCUGCUCUAGGCAUGACACGGUGUCUGAAGCGCUUUUGCGAUGUUAUUUCCGUAGGUCUCAGAGCUGCGCGGGCAGGAGGAAGAGCAGGAGGAUAUUAAUAUCCUCCUAGAUAAUGAAACAGGCUCAUUGGAAGGAACCCAGUCAGAACACAGUGGGCAACAUCCCCUGUCAAACUCCAAAGGCCUGCAAACAUGGGAGACAUUAUUAUAUCCCCUCCCCAGUGGAACUGCCUAGAGAUUGCAAAAAAAAGCCACCGAGGACGCUCUGAGUCAUCUCCGCAUCUCUGAACACGUACUUUUCGACUUCACAGCCUGAUGAAGGUCCUUGCAGGCAGAAACUGGGUUAUCCAUCUUUCUGCAGUCUACAGUUCUUGGCAAGUCUUCGCAUCGGCAACAUAUUUAUGGAGAACUUCCUCGAACACACAGCAUGGCUGCAUAAAGGAUGGAGACGGAAGCAACCAGGAGUGCCUACAGCUCCACCGAGC